GCGGCGGUAGUCUAGCCUGGUUAGGACGUCAGCUCCCCGGGCUGAUGGUCGCGGGUUCGAAUCCCGCCCGCCGCA
rnacentral:tRNA from 1 species